CUUCUUUCAGUUCCAUCUCCGGCUCGGACUGACUCUGAGGACGAAUGGAGCGGCAACUCCAAUGGCCAGGUAUGGUUGUGAAUCAAAAUCUUAGCGUGGCCGCUGAAAUCUCGGUGUGGCGGUCUUGCUGAAUAUUUGAUUAGAUACACUGCUGGUUGGAGGAACUAUUGAGCUAAACUAUGUACAGAGUGAUUUUGGAUUGAUUAUGCAUUUGGAUACUCACAGGGUUUACUGAAUUAAACUUGCCCCUUUUCCCUAGUUAUGCUAGUGUACAAACAUGAGCAAUCCUCACUGAGUAUUUGACAGAUCAGCUAUCUUUCCAUUC